rnacentral:rRNA from 1 species
AGUGAUUGCCAUACCCCUCUAAAUGUGACCAGUCCUGGAUGAUUCCAGAAGCUAAGCAGGGUCAGGCCGGGUUGUUAUGUGGAUGGGAGUUCACUUUGGAAUAUCAGAUGCUAUACUG